UUGACCGGCAGCUGAUGGACACGCACCUGAAAGAACGGAGCCAGCCGGCUGCUGCCCUCUGCAGGGGCCACAGCGCUGGGAGAGGGGAUGAGCCCAGCACCGCUGAAGGCAAAAGACUCUUCUCAUUCUUCAGGAAAAUUUAAGUUGGGAGGAGUCAGGCCACCAAAGAUGGGUGGACUGGAGGCAGCUGGAAAGGCGGUGCAGGCCCCAACUCAGAGGCUCCACGGCCCGGCCAGCCCUCAGCUGCUCACAACUGAUUCAGUCUCCCUCCCUCACGUGGGGAAAGCACAGCAGGGAUGCGCGGCAAGAAUGUACCUGUAGAUGUGUACAUACCACAGUGCUGUAAUUUUGUAUGUAGCAAUCAUGUAAAUACAUGUAUGGAUUUUAUAAUAUACAUAUAUAAAAAUAUAUAAAGGCAUAUUUUUAGAAAAACAGCACACCACUGCUUCUUUUGAAAAUAGUCUGAAUAAGAAUAAAAUGAAUUUCUAC
rnacentral:sRNA from 1 species